GACGAACGCUGGCGGCGUGCUUAACACAUGCAAGUCGAACGGAAAGGCCCUGCUUUUGUGGGGUGCUCGAGUGGCGAACGGGUGAGUAACACGUGAGUAACCUGCCCUUGACUUUGGGAUAACUUCAGGAAACUGGGGCUAAUACCGGAUAGGAGCUCCUGCUGCAUGGUGGGGGUUGGAAAGUUUCGGCGGUUGGGGCUGGACUCGCGGCUUAUGAGCUUGUUGGUGGGGUAGUGGCUUACCAAGGCUUUGACGGGUAGCCGGCCUGAGAGGGUGACCGGCGACAUUGGGACUGAGAGACGGAGCAGACGGCUACGGGAGGCAGCAGUGGGGAAUCUUGCACAAUGGGCGGAAGCCUGAUGCAGCAACGCCGCGUGCGGGAUGACGGCCUUCGGGUUGUAAACCGCUUUCGCCUGUGACGAAGCGUGAGUGACGGUAAUGGGUAAAGAAGCACCGGCUAACUACGUG
rnacentral:rRNA from 1 species